rnacentral:lncRNA from 1 species
AAGUGCAGCUCCAUCACAGAUGGGAAAAAGCAGAGAAGGUCGCUAAUCUAGCUAAAGAGGAGUUAGCUGCUGUCUUAAAAGAGGCACCAGGUAAACCUUUAAUAUUGUACUUUUAUUCAGUUAAGUGUUACACGAAUUGACUAUUCUGUUAGUCAAGAUUCUCAGUCGUCAAAGUUUUCUUAACAAGAAGGCAAGAAGGACAUCCAUGACUGACCUUCAAAAUGACUAAUACAUUCUUUUUUAGCGAGUGUUUCAGAGCACACUGUACAGAGAUGGAUGGAAACGGAGAACGAAGUUGCUAGAUUGACAGUUUUGAAAACCAAAACAGCAGGUAUCGCGUGUGUGUGCGUGUGUGUGUGUGUGUGUGUGUGUGUGUGUGUGUGUGUGUGUGUGUGUGUGUGUGUGUGUGUGAUCUUGUUCAUUAUUUAACCAUAAUAUCUUGACCUUUGUUCUCUAGACAGUGUUCCCAAAUGGAAGAGGGUGUAUGUGACAACGCUGAUUGAGCUCCAGCAGCUCAAGUAAGACAGUAACUGUUGUACUUUGAAAAUUGCAUCAAUCUAAAUGAAUGCAAGAUUACUUCACUGUAUUUCAUGUUAAAAAAAUGUGACCCCAACAAUAAAUAUGUAAGCAUCUUUCUUUUAAGUGCGUUGCGCUAUGUGUGUGUUUAAACACAACUAUUUUACAUUUAGAUCAUGUGAUCAUGAUUCAGCUGUUGCAGAUGAGAAAAAGAUUGAAUCUUGUCUUCAAAAAAUUGAAAGACAGUACCAUAUAACAAGAAGAUGGAAUCAGUCAGAUUCGAUAUUCCAGUCAACACUGUUAGAGCUCGACCAGGACAUUCGAGGUAAACUGGUCAUGCAGGCACGAACUGAGGCAAGGGAAAGACUUACACUUCUUCACUUGAAGCGGAAAUACCCAGAUGGACAGGGAAUUGCUGUCAGAUUGUCUAAACAAAUUAAGGCCUGUAACAAGAGACUGAGGAAAACCAUAACAGAUUACAAUAGUCUGCAAUGGCCACCACAGACAACCAUCUUCCCACCACAGAUGGAUUUUCAAGAAGCAUGUGAUCCCUCCUGGCCUGUCUACUGUAGCAUUGAUGAAAAUACAGAGGAAGGAGACUUUUCACGAUCCCUCAAAAGACGUGCCAUUGAUGCAUUGCACCUGAAGACCAGGGCUGCUGAGGAGGAGAUCAUGCUUCAGGAUGAAAUGAAGACUUUAAUACAUCAUGUUCAGCAACAACAUGCUUCUUUACACUCAGCUAUUACUAAUACUAAGCAACCUGGCUCCAGAGCUGUUCUUGUUGGCACCAUUAUAAACUUGGAACAGAAACUACAUAAUGCUACCUUGAUGUUCCAGCAACACAUUCCAAGUAUUGCUCCUCUUUCACACGCUUACCUGCCACAGUUGAAUGUAGUCUGCCAGAACGUGAUAUCACCGGAUGUGUACAUGGCUUUAUUCAACGACGAUGAUGAUGAUGAUGAUGAUGAUGAAGAUGGUAAUGAUGAUGAUGAGGAGGAUUGUGAUGAUAGCAUUUAAAGCUAAAAUAAAAUGCAGAUUCAUCCAACA